UGAUAGAAAAAAAUGAACAGUGCAUUCACUUCUCACCUCUGACAGCUGGCCUGAGAUUGAUAUCUGCCAUUUCUGCCUUCACUAGGGUAUCAGGUAAUGAGAGCUGGUAAAGGAUUUGGUGAUGUCAGAAUAAAAGCCUUUCAUAAUACUAAGAACUGUCAGAAUGCUUAAAAAUAUGACCAUGGGACGUCGUCACCAGCAAGAACUUUUUUGUGAGAUGUGAUGAGCAAGUGGAUAUCAACUCAUAUCAACACCAUGAAACACUGCACUGUUGGUCACGAAAGAGGAGAUACAUCACACCAGAGACGGAUGAAGCUAUUUGUGCCAUUUACAAUGCCAAGGAAACAGACAGGGUGCCUAUGGCCAUUAUUUCAAAGCUAUAAAACUUGUGUCUUUGCCCGCAGUGGAAUAUACUCUAAAUUGGUCACAGUCAAAAAGGAUUCAAAAAACCAUGAGAAAAAUAGAAGAAAGAAAACCUUCCCAGAUCAUUGUUGGACACACAUACAUGUACACAACUGAGUGAUAACAGAGAAGGAACUCAAGGAUCCCGAUGAUGUCAUUUGGAUCAUAUAAAACCAGAACCAUCCUGUGCCAAAGACCUUCCUGCUCGCUACUUUUACACUGAGUGAUGGAUAGGGCCUAUGAACUUCCACUUGCUCCAGUGGCUUCUCUAAGAUAGCCUGCAUUUGAGAAGGGAAAGAAGAUCCAGACAUAGACCUUACUAGCCACCCUGCUGGUGAUGAAUGUCUCCAGGCUGCAGGUGAAAACGGUGUCUGAGGCAGCUCAUGGAGGAAGCAUCUGUGAAGGCCCCACGGAGACAAAACGUUUGAGUGGGACCUUAAAAUAAAAGUAGAAUUUGGACCAUCGGACCUGAAGGAGAGUUGCAAGAACGUGUCUCCUCUUGGUGCUGUCAGUGCGCUGCACAGGGAUCAUGGGCUUGGGCAGCCGUGUGGGAUGAAAGCCUUCAGCCAGAGAUCCUCCUAUGGCACCCUUUCCAAUCAUGUUCUCAUUCCCUGGGCUCCAGUUUUAAGACAUAGAAGGCAGUUCGGUGCCGCUGCAGCUUAAGGAAGAUGGGGCCUGGACGAGACUGGAAAGGACCUCAGCUAAAGAAUUUGAACUCUAUUUUAAGACUCUUCUCUGAAUGCAUAAACAUACUGGAGGGAGGAAGAAAAAAACAAGCAACAGAUGAACAGAAAAAUGGAAAAAGAGAGAGGGGGCAGACAGACAAUCAACAGACUCCCCCUGGGAUUUAAAAUGAUAAAUGCACCAUACACAUCCACAUAUUUGCAUAUAGUGAAACUUUAACAUAACCUCAUAAGGCAAAAUCUCCACAAGAAAAUGUGUACUUGAACUGUAAGAUACAAGAGCCUCAUUUUGAGAAUUAUAAAUACAAAUGUCAUUUCAA